CGCGAAUAUUCAUGACCAUUCACUUGUCAAAUUAUAAUAAAAGCUGCUAUAUCAGAUGACUCCUAACAUGGAGAAACAUAACAUUUAAAAUGAUAGAGGGACUUCAUGUAGCAUCUUUAAUGAGAAAAAGACGCCUUUCAGUAAACCGCAGCUAACCUAGGCUCAUGUAAAAUUAUUUCCGAAUAUCCUAUUCGGAAAUAUGUGGACAAAUAUUUUUCGAUUUAUAAUUAAAUUGUGUUUAUUUGUAUCACAAACGUUUCAAUCAUUUCUUCAUUCCAAAUAAGGAUUUCACCAUUUGAAGGAAUGCAUUAUUCGUAGAGCCUCUACCUGCAUUACCUCCACCACGACCUUGAAACGAAUUCCCCCGACGUGGUUGUUCAUUCCAUAUUGACCCGCCCUCUGUCGGUGUUGGUUUAGUGGGACCCUCUCCUCCUGCUCCACGGGCAAAACUGUUAAACCCUCUAUUAUUGUUAAAUCCUCCAACAUUGGGUGAAAAACCUCUUCCUCC
rnacentral:lncRNA from 1 species